AUGUAUUCACCCAGGAACAUGAAACCAUCACUUUUUUUACUUUUUCAAGGUAUCCUGCUCUAUGAUGCUUUGGGAUGGGAAGUGAGAAUGCCGAAAUACAUCCACGGCCUCAAAGGUUCCUGUCUGGUCAUACCAUGUUCUUUCAGCUACACAUCAUAUCCACCCAAAGACCCACGUAGAGUUGUGUGGUAUCAGUGGGUCUCUAAAGGUUAUCCUUUAGUUUAUGAUCCAUGGCAUCCAAAUGAUGUCAUUGAGAAGUUCAGAUGGAAAACUGAUUUAUAUGGUGACCCAUCAAAUAGGGAUUGCAGUCUGUUAAUUAAAAACCUGCAACAGUCCCACCACGAAGAGAAAUUAUAUGCUUGGAUUGACCCUGAAAAUGUUGGAUGGCGCACCUACGCAUUUUAUGAUGUCACCUCUACUAUUCAAGUUGAUGACCCAGUGCUCAUUGGACUGGAGACUAUUGGUCUUUACAUCCUAAUGCCAUCACUUGUGUUCCUUCUGGUUUGUAUACUUGCUGGAGUCAUCAUAUACAAGAAGCGACAAAGGUCAAAAGAUGCAAUGUCUGGAAACAAGCCUUUCUCCAAACCUCAUAUGCCAUCACCAAAGAGUGAUCCAAAAUCCUGCUCUGGUAAUGAUUAUGAAGCUGAAUACACCAACAUGGAAGAACUCAACAUGUAUGGAAAUAUCUGAUGAGAAGCAAAAUGGGCUCAAUACAGUGUUUUUUUUUUUUUUUUUUAAGAUUAAAAAUAAUAAUUUUAUUAAUAAUAAAUUUGUUACAUUUAUCA
ensembl:lncRNA